rnacentral:rRNA from 1 species
AGUCGAACGGAAAGGCCCCUUCGGGGGUACUCGAGUGGCGAACGGGUGAGUAACACGUGGGUGAUCUGCCCUGCACUUUGGGAUAAGCCUGGGAAACUGGGUCUAAUACCGAAUAGGACCGCAUGCUUCAUGGUGUGUGGUGGAAAGCUUUUGCGGUGUGGGAUGGGCCCGCGGCCUAUCAGCUUGUUGGUGGGGUAAUGGCCUACCAAGGCGACGACGGGUAGCCGGCCUGAGAGGGUGUCCGGCCACACUGGGACUGAGAUACGGCCCAGACUCCUACGGGAGGCAGCAGUGGGGAAUAUUGCACAAUGGGCGCAAGCCUGAUGCAGCGACGCCGCGUGGGGGAUGACGGCCUUCGGGUUGUAAACCUCUUUCAGUAUCGGCGAAGCUCCAGGAUUUUUCUUGGGGUGACGGUAGGUACAGAAGAAGCACCGGCCAACUACGUGCCAGCAGCCGCGGUAAUACGUAGGGUGCGAGCGUUGUCCGGAAUUACUGGGCGUAAAGAGCUCGUAGGUGGUUUGUCACGUUGUCCGUGAAAACUCACAGCUUAACUGUGGGCGUGCGGGCGAUACGGGCAGACUAGAGUACUGUAGGGGAGACUGGAAUUCCUGGUGUAGCGGUGGAAUGCGCAGAUAUCAGGAGGAACACCGGUGGCGAAGGCGGGUCUCUGGGCAGUAACUGACGCUGAGGAGCGAAAGCGUGGGGAGCGAACAGGAUUAGAUACCCUGGUAGUCCACGCCGUAAACGGUGGGUACUAGGUGUGGGUUUCCUUCCUUUAGGGAUCCGUGCCGUAGCUAACGCAUUAAGUACCCCGCCUGGGGAGUACGGCCGCAAGGCUAAAACUCAAAGGAAAUUGAC